GCUGUGGAUUGUCCUUUGGACAAUGGUAGGAGAGCGUUCUAAGGGCGUUGAAGCAUGAUCGUAAGGACAUGUGGAGCGCUUAGAAGUGAGAAUGCCGGUGUGAGUAGUGAAAGACGGGUGAGAAUCCCGUCCACCGAUUGACUAAGGUUUCCAGAGGAAGGCUCGUCCGCUCUGGGUUAGUCGGGUCCUAAGCUGAGGCCGACAGGCGUAGGCGAUGGAUAACAGGUUGAUAUUCCUGUACCACCUAUAAUCGUUUUAAUCGAUGGGGGGACGCAGUAGGAUAGGCGAAGCGUGCGAUUGGAUUGCACGUCUAAGCAGUAAGGCUGAGUAUUAGGCAAAUCCGGUACUCGUUAAGGCUGAGCUGUGAUGGGGAGAAGACAUUGUGUCUUCGAGUCGUUGAUUUCACACUGCCGAGAAAAGCCUCUAGAUAGAAAAUAGGUGCCCGUACCGCAAACCGACACAGGUAGUCAAGAUGAGAAUUCUAAGGUGAGCGAGCGAACUCUCGUUAAGGAACUCGGCAAAAUGACCCCGUAACUUCGGGAGAAGGGGUGCUCUUUAGGGUUAACGCCCAGAAGAGCCGCAGUGAAUAGGCCCAAGCGACUGUUUAUCAAAAACACAGGUCUCUGCUAAACCGUAAGGUGAUGUAUAGGGGCUGACGCCUGCCCGGUGCUGGAAGGUUAAGAGGAGUGGUUAGCUUCUGCGAAGCUACGAAUCGAAGCCCCAGUAAACGGCGGCCGUAACUAUAACGGUCCUAAGGUAGCGAAAUUCCUUGUCGGGUAAGUUCCGACCCGCACGAAAGGCGUAACGAUUUGGGCACUGUCUCAACGAGAGACUCGGUGAAAUCAUAGUACCUGUGAAGAUGCAGGUUACCCGCGACAGGACGGAAAGACCCCGUGGAGCUUUACUGUAGCCUGAUAUUGAAAUUCGGCACAGCUUGUACAGGAUAGGUAGGAGCCUUUGAAACGUGAGCGCUAGCUUACGUGGAGGCGCUGGUGGGAUACUACCCUAGCUGUGUUGGCUUUCUAACCCGCACCACUUAUCGUGGUGGGAGACAGUGUCAGGCGGGCAGUUUGACUGGGGCGGUCGCCUCCUAAAAGG
rnacentral:rRNA from 1 species